rnacentral:rRNA from 1 species
AUUGAACGCUGGCGGCAUGCCUUACACAUGCAAGUCGAACGGUAACAGGUUAAGCUGACGAGUGGCGAACGGGUGAGUAAUAUAUCGGAACGUGCCCAGUCGUGGGGGAUAACGUAGCGAAAGCUACGCUAAUACCGCAUACGAUCUACGGAUGAAAGCGGGGGAUCGCAAGACCUCGCGCGAUUGGAGGGGCCGAUAUCAGAUUAGGUUGUUGGUGAGGUAAAAGAUCACCAAGCCUGCGAUCUGUAGCUGGUCUGAGAGGACGACCAGCCCCACUGGCACUGAGACACGGUCCAGACUCAUACGGGAGGCAGCAGUGGGGAAUUUUGGACAAGGUACACAAGUCUGAUCCAGCAAUGCCGCGUGCACGACGAAGGCCUUCGGGUUGUAAACUGCUUUUGUACGGAACGAAACGGUGAGCUCUAAUACAGUUUGCUAAUGACGGUACCGUAAGAAUAAGCACCGGCUAACUACGUGCCAGCCGCCGCCGUAA